rnacentral:rRNA from 1 species
CCUACGGGGGGCUGCAGUGGGGAAUAUUGGACAAUGGGGGCAACCCUGAUCCAGCCAUGCCGCGUGUGUGAAGAAGGCCCUCGGGUUGUAAAGCACUUUCAGUGAGGAAGAACGCCUGGUGGUUAAUACCCAUCAGGAAAGACAUCACUCACAGAAGAAGCACCGGCUAACUCCGUGCCAGCAGCCGCGGUAAUACGGAGGGUGCGAGCGUUAAUCGGAAUUACUGGGCGUAAAGCGCGCGUAGGUGGCUUGAUAAGCCGGUUGUGAAAGCCCCGGGCUCAACCUGGGAACGGCAUCCGGAACUGUCAAGCUUGAGUGCAGGAGAGGAAGGUAGAAUUCCCGGUGUAGCGGUGAAAUGCGUAGAGAUCGGGAGGAAUACCAGUGGCGAAGGCGGCCUUCUGGACUGAAACUGACACUGAGGUGCGAAAGCGUGGGUAGCAAACAGGAUUAGAUACCCGAGUAGUC